AUAUAUCAUACUUCCGUGCUUAAAGCCAGUACGACUCCUAUCAGAGUUACUUUCGAGUAGAUGGGAAGUUCCAUUGGACUCGUGUUAGCGCCCAUUGUUUACGUUGCCCAUGCGUCGUCAAUGGGCCGCGCAGUGUAUUCUGGGUAAUUUUGGGACAAGGCGCGCACUCUUUCAAGGAGCAUUAGCUGAAAAACCCAACAUUAGCAUGGAUUUAGUCAACAAGAAGUACAACAUUACGAAUAGUUUCCGAGAUGAAUCUACAGGCAUCAGCACUCUUCCUCUCAUUGAUAUACUCUGGAUCAAGGGAAGUGAAGGAGGAAAUUACUACUACUUUGGAGGCUGUCACCGGUUUGAGGCAUACAAAUGGUUGAAAAUGAAAACCAUUCCAGCAAAGAUCUUCAAAUCAAAUGUUGCAGACCUGCACACUUACUUGGGCGCCUCAACCCCAGACCUACAGUGAAAUUUGAUUAAUUGAGGACUGUAGAGCCAUGUUAUACUCCAUGUGAAUCAGUGUUUGCAACUGUAUAUGUGCAGUGCAAGUACUGACAAGUAGGUGGAGAUGUAAGACAAAAUAGAAAUAAAGAAGUAAGAUUCCUUAAA